GGUCGCGUGGCCGAGUGGCUAGGCACAGGUCUGCAAAACCUUCUACAGCGGUUCGAAUCCGCUCGCGACCU
rnacentral:tRNA from 1 species